CCCCUCCCCCCCCCCCUCGCGGUGGCUCAUAAAAUCUCCGAGGCAGAGGCAGGGCAGCUUUCUCAGCCCCCGAGCUCGCAAAGGUGACCCAGGGACAGACAAACUGUGCUGAAGUCAGAAAUCAACUGGCAUAUUCAGUCUGGAGGAAUCUCCCAGGGUACCAGUCGAAUGCAUUAAGAGUGUAUUUCUCCAGCAAGAAGUGAUGGGAAGAGCACAGAGCAAAAAGAAGAAAGAAGCAGGGAAGAAGAUGAAGAAAUAAUCUCUCGAAGGACGCAGUAAUACUACCAUCUAACUAAAAAGAAUUCAGACAUGCACACAAUCCUCAGGAAAAUUCAUCUCCACCCUCCCAACGGACUCUGACUACCACUGAUCCAAGGACCACUGGUGUGGAACCACUGUUUUGUCCGCUGCUGACAAAAGUAUGUUUAAGAGUCUUGGUUUGGCAACAGGAAGGAUACCAUCCUUUGUCCGAUUCCACUGGCUGAGAGAAGUAUGCCCCAAUCAGAUAAUGGCAGUCAAAAGGAAUAAAGCAAGAUCCUUUCCUUGGGUGUGAGCCAGCAUUGUUCUUUCAUGCAUUAUUCAUGAAAUAUGCAAGGUAUUAACAGCAAAAGCUGGGGAGUGGAAGCAAAGCUAAACCUGGGGUGAAACGAAGAUUGCUCUUCAACAAAUUCAGAGAAAAGGAAACAGAAAAAAAGAUUUUGUUUUCUUGCUUAAAUCAGUCUCUUAGUAGGAUUCCAGGAAACUCAGUGCUAUCAUUUUCUUAUCAUUUUCUUUGCUGCUUGAUUUGUUUUCUCUAGCAUUCCUAAGUAUAUAUUGAAUUUACUUAUUUUAGUCAGACUAAACUAUAACAGAGAGAUAGGCAGGCUGACAGAGCACUCCAGGAGAAGUUUAUCACAGGGUAUGGAAGAAAGAGAUCCUGCUGAGUUCUGAUAUCCCUGGAAAAAAAACAUGGCCCAAUUUUUUAUAGGUAUAUGCAGUCUCCUGAGUGAGAAAAUGGAGCAAAAAGUCAUAGAUACAGUCACCAAAUUGGAUAGAAGAUUAUAGUGAAAUUUGACAUGGUCUCACAGAGAACACCAUGGUUUUUUUUGUUUGUUUUUGCACUGCCUAACAUGUCUGGCAUCCAUCUCUGAAAUGAGACGCAAAUGUUGAAUGAAUGAGAACAAGUGAGGAAGGAUAACAGAAGAAACGAAGGAGGAUAUCCCUGACAAGGAGGUGCUGCUCUCUGUGGUCUGGCUCUGUGUGGAAGACUAGUGAUUUUGUUGUUAUGAUUUAUAAAGGUGACAACAAAUCAUAGCCUGCCAUACAGCACAGAUCUUCACCCUUGCUGGUAGGAAGAGAUUGCUGACAGGACAGGGUUGGGCUCUGAGUGAAGCUACGGGAGGUAUGUCCAUGAAGAGGGCUGUGAGGCUCAUCCUGACACCUUGAGCAUUUCUCUCCAAGCACAGCAAUCACCUACUUUAACUUCAAAGCAAUUUCACAUCAAGAUCAACUAUCAUUAUCUUCAUACUGCGGAUUGGGGAAUUUUUAGUGUCUAACUUAAUAGAACUUGUAAUAUUUCUGUGGGAGAGUUGGGGUUUAAACCUCAGCUGCUGAGGUCUGCUGAGCACCCAGAGCUCCUGCUUGUUUUGAAGUUCCAGCUUGUUGCUUCCAACAGGAUUUUAAACACCGAAACAAGUAAACUUUCAUUACCAGCCAGAGGCUCUAUUCUCAGAGAUAUUUAGGUGUGAAAAUAGAAUUCCUGAAUCCUGCUGAGGCCAGAGGGGAAGGUAAGUACUGAAAUGUCUCUAAUAAUUUGGGUUGGUGAAGCUGUAUUUUCUUUGUCUGCUCAGCAUUGCACACUUGUCACUGUUAUUACCUGAAGGUGAGAGACAACUGAGUCAUGUUCUUUUCAGUGGUCCCAAGACAAGAGGCAGAGGGGAAAAAAUGAAGCACAGGAGGUCCUGUCUGAAAGCAUCAGGAAGUAUUUCUGUGCUGAGGGUGACCAAGCCCUAGAGCAUGUUGCUCAGAGAAGCUGCAGAGCCCUCCUGCAUUCUUGAGGAUACUCAAAAGUCACUGCAAGAUGAAGACAGCCACUGACCUCCAAAUCAAUCGGUUUUGUAGUUUACAAACAUAUUUUACAGUACUUGUAGCCAGAUUCUUUGUGGGUUGUCAUCUUUUGUUUCCAACUAAUACCGAACAACUCCUAGGUUCUCUUUCCUAAAUGUAUGUUGAUCUGCUGCAACUUCUUUUGCCAGUCUCUGCCUUAUUUGGUACCUUGUAAAAGGAAAUAGCAAUUCUCACAUCUUAGGAGGAUGGCUAAGAGUUCUCUGUCUGUCUAGAAGACUGCAUGUUCCUCAUGGUUUUUGUCCUACCAGGGAGCCACAUGUUGCAAAAGAGAAUGAUAGCAUGGGAUUGAGGAGGUAACUUGCUGAACCACUCCCAAGGAAACUGAUGGUACAAUAAAAGCAAAUUGAACCUAAUUCUUAGAUGCAAAUCUGAUGCUCUUGAUACCUUGCCAUUUGCCUCAAAGCUAUUUUUUUCUCCUUUAAGUUUGGAAGCGGAAGGGUCCAAAUCCCAAGAUACUAUUAUUAUCAUCUCAGAUAAUCUGCGAAGUAGGAGCACAGCAAUUAUUUUCCCAGGAAAUUUACUGCUAAGGGAAUUUAACAAUUGUACAAAUUGCUGCCUAAUGGUGAUGCAUAAAAAAAGGAUCAUGUUUCAUAAGAUGAACAACAUACUCUCCCUUUCUUCCACCCUUCUACUGAUAUACUGAAGUUACAAAAAAUCGGAGGGCAGUAGUGCAACCACUAAUGCUGAAAUUGCCAGGCUGGUGUCUAAUGUAAAUUGAACUUUGAUGAUUUAGUGUUACCCAACAUACCUCUCCUCGUUGUUCAUUUUAUGCAGACUGAUAAAAAUCCUUCCAGGUAGCAAUGGCCUCAUGCCCUGUAUAAGCACAGAAAAUAAUGUCAUCGCAAGCCUUAAUGAUGAAGGUAGUUAUAGGACAAAGGCCCCUGCAGCAAGUUGGGUAUUGGGUCAUUGUUCCAGCUAAUGUCAUGAUGCCAUUUCUCACUAUUUUUAGAACUGUUUUCUUUGUACAGCAAAUUUAUCAUGUAGUUACUUAAAAAUACAGAAGAUCUUGUCUUCUCUGGACUUAGUAGCAAAAGAUUGUCUUCCUCUGACUUCUGCAAAUUAGACAAUCCCCUAAAAGCUGCAGAGAUUGAUUAAAACUUAAACUUAAAACCUAAAUUUAAGCUUAGAAAAAAUGAGUAUCUCAACCCAAUCUGCUGUUAGCACUUGGUGUAAUGACAGACUAAGCACAAAGACCUUACAGAAAAAUUUGCAGGAAUCCAAGUUAGCCACUCACAGUUCCAGAAGUAAUUCAGGGAUUCAGUAAAUCAGCACAAACCUAGUUCCUACAUUGCAUAUAUGUUAGCACAGAUCCAAAUUUCUCUACAUUUUGGGGAAAGAAAUGUGAAACAGUGGAUGAGGAACAUUCCAUCCUUUCAUGUUAAAACUUUGUUCCAUGUCAUAUAGCCAAGCCCUUUUAUUAUUAUCUACUUUGUAUAUUAUGGUUGCCGCAGAUACCUUAUCAAAAAUUGAAACUCUGAUUUUGGUUGUCCUAUAAGCACAGAAGAUGCAACCUGUAAACUCAGAAUUUAAGGAUUUAGGAAGCAAGACAGACAGAGACCAGUUCUCAUUCCCAUGUUACAGGCAGGGAAAUAGGACAUAGGAAGAUUAAAUGACUAGCUCACGGUCAGAAAACGAGUUUCUAGCAAAGGUAGGGUCUCAGCAAUAUUUUCCAAAAUCUCCGCCCAACACUUUAGGGAUCCAUUCAUGUGCCUUUUUUUUUUUUUUUUUUUUUUUUUUUAAGUACCGUGUCAUUAUUUCUGUGAAAAAAAUUAUGUAACUCCUUCAGCAGCCAGUACUAUACACUUCAGCUUGUCUGAAAGGGAAUAUGAAAUGGCAGUUAAAAAAAAAAAAAAAAAAAUAACCUUCCUGCCACACAGUCUGGCAGCCCUGUCAAAAUGUAUCUUCUUUUCCUCUGAUGGGUAUUUAAGUUCCCUCUAUAUCCUUAGAACACUGGCUGGGGCUUUAUCUACAUUACCCUACAAAGCCAAAAUCAUGGAGUCUCCCUAUGGAGGACAUACUCUGUAGAUGAGGAAUGUAAUACCUUCCAGUACUUCACUUCAAUGCCAGGUGUUCAGGCCCACGUGGCAUUAGGAGCCUGUGAAGGUUUCCUGGCAGAUUCUGUGACAAGAAGGAAUAGUGACUGUUCCUCAAGAGGAUGCAGUAACCACCCCAUGCGACAGACCUGCUCACCCAGAUGCACAACUGGAUCACAGUGUUAAAUGGGAUGUUACAUGCUGGCAGAUCUCUUCUAUUCCUCAGUGUUGUAUCAGUGGGAGCUGCACUUCUGAUACCAGUCUAAUUCAGGAGACAGUAUCCAUCUCUGGGUGAUGUUUCAAACCAGGGACACUGGUUUGAGAUUAAUUGUUUUGGUGGUGACUUCUAUGAAAGAAGUCAAACGAAACAGGAGAACCAGUGUGACAAGGGAAAUUGAUCAGAAUGCCUCUGGUUUCUGCCAGAGGCAUUCUCUCCCCCAGCCCAAAUCCUGCCCCAGUACAGCACAUCAGCACAAGACAAGUUGGUGUAACACAGCCAGCAACAUGUUCUGUGACCUCUCAGACCAGAUAAUCCACUCACAGCUGGGUCAAGGGUGCACAUGGCUCAUCUAUUUCAUACCCAUGCUUCCGAUC
ensembl:lncRNA